CGUUAGCGGCGGACGGGGUGAGUAACACGUGGGUAACCUACCUAUAAGACUGGGACAACUUCGGGAAACCGGAGCUAAUACCGGAUAAGAUAUCGAACCGCAUGGUUCGAUAGUGAAAGAUGGUUUUGCUAUCACUUAUAGAUGGACCCGCGCCGUAUUAGCUAGUUGGUGAGGUAACGGCUCACCAAGGCAACGAUACGUAGCCGACCUGAGAGGGUGAUCGGCCACACUGGAACUGAGACACGGUCCAGACUCCUACGGGAGGCAGCAGUA
rnacentral:rRNA from 1 species